rnacentral:rRNA from 1 species
CCUACGAGUGGCAGCAGUGGGGGAUAUUGCACAAUGGGGGAAACCCUUAUGCAGCGACGCCGCGUGAGUGAAGAAGUAUUUCGGUAUGUAACGCUCUAUCAGCAGGGAAGAAAAUGACAGUACCUGACCCAGAAGCCCCGGCUAACUACGUGCCAGCAGCCGCGGUAAUACGUAGGGGGCAAGCGUUAUCCGGAUUUACUGGGUGUAAAGGGAGCGUAGACGGUUAUGUAAGUCUGGAGUGAAAGCCCGGGGCCCAACCCCGGGACUGCUUUGGAAACUGUGUAACUGGAGUACAGGAGGGGCAGGCGGAAUUCCUGGUGUAGCGGUGAAAGGCGUAGAUAGCAGGAGGAACACCGGCGGCGAAGGCGGCCUGCUGGACUGAAACUGACGUUGAGGCUCGAAAGCGUGGGGAGCAAACAGGAUUAGAUACCCCAGUAGUC